GUACAGAAUUUUAAAAAAUCCUUAAUAAACAUAUAACGAGCAUGAGAAAAUUCAGCAAAGUACAGCUUUUCAGAUUUUUCCUACAGCGAGGCUUUUCGUUUUGUGCAAUUUCAAAUAUUGAAUUCUUGGGCCGCCUGCGUGGCUCAGUCUGUUAAGCUUCUGACUCUUGAUUUCAGGUCAGAUCACGAUCUCAUCGUCCGUGAGUUCGAGCCCUGCAUUGGGCUCUGCGCUGUGAGCGCAGAGCCUACUUGGGAAUCUCUCUCUCCUUCUCUCUCUGCCCCUUCCCUGCUUGCGCACUCUCUCUCCCUCAAAAUAAAUAGAUGAACUUAAAAAAACCCCAAAUAUUGACUUCUUUCCAAAAAAAUUUUUUUCUGGUUUCCUUCAGUUGUUGAUAUCUUGAAUGCUUAACAGAUCUGAUUAUUGGGAAACUCAGUAUUACUGAGGGAGAAUGGAGGUUAAUUCCAGGGUGGUUCCACCUACAGACCCACAGUAUUCUGCCAUUGCAGGGGAGGAAGGUCCCGUGUAUUUGUAGGGAGAGAUUGGUGUAGACAUCGUCAGGCUUUUGUAUUUGCAAGUUUAGGGGCAAGAGUUGGACCUCGGACGCCCGUUUGGAAGCCGUGGGCCUGUUUGCGGUUGCUAGACAAGUAAGAGGCGAUGGUGAUUUUUGUUUCAUGAAUUAGACUUGCCUAACCAAGGAAGGUACCAAGAGCGAAGACUGCAGUCGUACAAGAAAAAAAAUCCCUGGGGAGCCGCCGCGUUUCAGAGGUGGUGAAGAAGGGCGUGAAGAAGAACAAAAAGAAAGGAUGGCAGCCAAACUUCAGGGACUUGGGCCUUGACUGCACAUCGGACAUCUGAAGGAGGUUUUUCCUGACAUCCAGUCCUGUGCAAGUCCUGGAGGCUUCCAAAUCAAAUUGACGAGGAGGACAGUGAUCUGACAUCAAGAGGGGCAAGACCACUAAAUAUGGAAAACCUGACUCCCAAUCGAUGCUUUGAAAGAAAGAUCUUGAUCAAAAGAGGGAAAUGUGAAACUGAAUAGAGGAAACCUCAUUUAAAAGGGAGUCAGAAGACCAGAAGGGGAGCUCUCAUGUCAAAUCAUUUGUCCCUCACAGACCCCAGCAGGAAAAAAUGCAAUACCAGCAGGAAGAAGCCUACUUUACCACCUCAGAAGGAGGAAGGGAGAAUUUCUCCUGACCUAGCAACAAGCUCAGCCAAUAAGAAAAUACCACAACUCACCCAAUGAGAAACCAUCACUACCCUGAACUCUCAUUUUCCUCCAAUGGAUUUCAUUCAUGCAGCCCCUCCCAAGUUCCUUCUCUUCUCUACAAAGUAACCUUCUUUUCCUUUGAUUUUUCAACUGUGUUAUGGUUUGCCAUAGCUUUUGUGUCCUGAACUGCAAUUUCUCUGCUAUUCCUCAAUAAACUUAUUCUGCUGGUAAAAUAACUGGCUGUUUUGCUUUUAAGGUUGACAGGCCUUCGUCCCAUAAGACUUCCCCCACUUUAGAAGGCAAUUUCAAGUCCAGGUUGUUACCUAUACUUCUGAGCCACUGGCUAUAAGUUGGAGGUUCCCGGGAACAUUUCUUCCACUUCAAUUAAUAUGCUAGGAUGCCUCAAAGAACUCAGAAAAACAUGUACUCAUGUUUACCAGUUUAUGAUAAAGGAUAUUAUAAAGGAUAUAGAUGAAUAGCCAGAUGAAGAGGUACAUAAAGCCUAGGAGGGUCCCAAGUGCAGAAGCUUCUGUCCCCAUGGGCCUGGAGUGGACUAUCCUCCAGGCAUAUGGAGACAUUC